rnacentral:rRNA from 1 species
GACGAACGCUGGCGGCGUGCUUAACACAUGCAAGUCGAACGGAAAGGCCCUGCUUUUGUGGGGUGCUCGAGUGGCGAACGGGUGAGUAACACGUGAGUAACCUGCCCUUGACUUUGGGAUAACUUCAGGAAACUGGGGCUAAUACCGGAUAGGAGCUCCUGCUGCAUGGUGGGGGUUGGAAAGUUUCGGCGGUUGGGGAUGGACUCGCGGCUUAUCAGCUUGUUGGUGGGGUAGUGGCUUACCAAGGCUUUGACGGGUAGCCGGCCUGAGUGGGUGACCGGCCACAUUGGGACCGAGAUACGGCCCAGACUCCUACGGGAGGCAGCAGUGGGGAAUAUUGCACAAUGGGCGGAAGCCUGAUGAAGCAACGCCGCGUGCGGGAUGACGGCCUUCGGGUUGUAAACCGCUUUCGCCUGUGACGAAGCGUGAGUGACGGUAAUGGGUAAAGAAGCACCGGCUAACUACGUG